rnacentral:ncRNA from 1 species
GGUCAAGCUACUAAGGGCGUACGGUGGAUGCCUAGGCGCUAAGAGUCGAUGAAGGGCGCGGUUAACAGCGAAAUGCCACGGGGAGUCGUAAGCAGGCUUUGAUCCGUGGAUACCCGAAUGGGGCAACCCAACCGGAGUCAUAUCUGGUUAUCGUUAACUGAAUACAUAGGUUAACGAAGGCAACCCGGGGAACUGAAACAUCUAAGUACCCGGAGGAAGAGAAAGAAUAAUCGAUUCCCUGAGUAGCGGCGAGCGAAACGGGAAGAGCCCAAACCAUACUCGAGAUUCGAGGUUCGAAAUUCGAGGUACGAGAUCAGGUCAUUCUAAAGGGUCAUAAAGACCUGUAAGAAUAGCUUGAAUCGAAUAUCGAACAUCGUAUUUCGAAUCUCGAGUAUGGGGUUGUAGGACCCUCUAUUAAGAAUGAUUUCCU